rnacentral:rRNA from 1 species
GACGAACGCUGGCGGCGUGCCUAAUACAUGCAAGUAGAACGCUGAAGGAGGAGCUUGCUCUUCUGGAUGAGUUGCGAACGGGUGAGUAACGCGUAGGUAACCUGCCUGGUAGCGGGGGAUAACUAUUGGAAACGAUAGCUAAUACCGCAUAACAGUAGAUGUUGCAUGACAUUUACUUAAAAGGUGCAAUUGCAUCACUACCAGAUGGACCUGCGUUGUAUUAGCUAGUUGGUGGGGUAACGGCUCACCAAGGCGACGAUACAUAGCCGACCUGAGAGGGUGAUCGGCCACACUGGGACUGAGACACGGCCCAGACUCCUACGGGAGGCAGCAGUAGGGAAUCUUCGGCAAUGGACGGAAGUCUGACCGAGCAACGCCGCGUGAGUGAAGAAGGUUUUCGGAUCGUAAAGCCCUGUUGUAAGAGAAGAACGAGUGUGAGAGUGGAAAGUUCACACUGUGACGGUAUCUUACCAGAAAGGGACGGCUAACUACGU